rfam:Alcaligenes sp. EGD-AK7 Contig7, whole genome shotgun sequence.
CUGCUAUCCGCUAACCGGCGAGGUCCGUGUCGCGGAAGGUUUUCCUGCAUCUCAACACGAGUGAAACACUCGGAUAGGUGAAGCG